rnacentral:rRNA from 1 species
GACGAACGCUUGCGGCGUGCUUAAUACAUGCAAGUCGAACGGAAAGGCCCUGCUUUUGUGGGGUGCUCGAGUGGCGAACGGGUGAGUAACACGCGAGUAACCUGUCCUUGACUUUGGGAUAACUUCAGGAAACUGGGGCUAUUACCGGAUAGGAGCUCCUGCUGCACGGGGGGGGUUGGAAAGUUUCGGCGGUGGGGGAUGGACUCGCGGCUUAUCAGCUUGUUGGUGGGGUAGUGGCUUACCAAGGCUUUGACGGGUAGCCGGCAUGGGAGGGUGACCGGCCACAUUGGGACUGCGAUACGGCCCAGACUCCUACGGGAGGCAGCAGUGGGGAAUCUUGCACAAUGGGCGGAAGCCUGAUGCAGCAACGCCGCGUGCGGGAUGCCCGCCUUCGGGUUGUAAACCGCUUUCGCCUGUGCCGAAGCGUGAGUGACGGUAAUGGGUAAAGAAGCACCGGCUAACUACGUG